rnacentral:rRNA from 1 species
UACGUAGGAUCCGAGCGUUAUCCGGAUUUAUUGGGUUUAAAGGGUGCGUAGGCGGUUUGAUAAGUUAGAGGUGAAAUGUCGGGGCUCAACCCUGAAACUGCCUCUAAUACUGUUGGACUAGAGAAUAGUUGCGGUAGGCGGAAUGUAUGGUGUAGCGGUGAAAUGCUUAGAGAUCAUACAGAACACCGAUUGCGAAGGCAGCUUACCAAACUAUAUCUGACGUUGAGGCACGAAAGCGUGGGUAGCAAACAGG